UGACUCUGGUUCUUUCAUUACGCACAAGCCUUUCCCUUUUUACUAAAGACUUUCCGUGAGAGAACACUUACGAGCUUCAACGUUAUUUUUGACGCUUUGCUUCUCAGAGCC
rnacentral:snRNA from 1 species